rnacentral:rRNA from 1 species
CCUACGGGGGGCAGCAGUGAGGAAUAUUGGUCAAUGGUCGGGAGACUGAACCAGCCAAGCCGCGUGAGGGAUGAAGGUACAGAGUAUCGUAAACCUCUUUUGUCAGGGAACAAAGGCGGGGACGCGUCCCCGGAUGAGUGUACCUGAAGAAAAAGCAUCGGCUAACUCCGUGCCAGCAGCCGCGGUAAUACGGAAGGUCCGGGCGUUAUCCGGAUUUAUUGGGUUUAAAGGGAGCGUAGGCCGGCUUUUAAGUCAGCUGUGAACGUCCGCGGCUCAACCGUGGAAUUGUAGUUGCAACUGGUGGC